UAAUUAUGUGUUUUAAUUUGUAAAAUCAUGCUUUUCAAAAUGUUUUUGUCUUUAAGAGAAAUUGUUAUGUUUGGAUAACAAUCAAAAGAAAUUGGACCUUUAUAGAGACUAAAUUCGAUGCUACUUAGCAAAGAAUCAUCAAAAGAGAUGAAUCGGCCAUCUCUAAGGACAGCAAUGAUAGAAGUAUCAAGGCUAGGGUUGGCAAUGGGACGGGAUGGGAUGGGAUUUACCAAUCCCAGUCCCAUCCUGUAUAUACAAUUGGGAUGAAAAAACGUCACAAUCUCGUCCCUAUAUUUUUUUUUUUUGGGACAAAAAUAUGUCCAAAUCCCGUCCCAAAAGAGAUGGGAUCCUGCGGGAUCCCAUCCCAAUUGGAAAAAUUUCCAUUCUUAAUCGGUAAUGAGACGGGAUGGGACGGAAUUUGUCAAUCCCACUCCCGUCCCGCAUAUGUAAUUGAGAUAAAAAAAU
rnacentral:lncRNA from 1 species